AUAUCCCUGCAGUGCUCGUUGGAAAUUUGAUAAUUGUUGAACCAACACUAAUUUCAAGGGAGCCCAAUAGGGCGCCCACCUGAAAGCAAAUGGUUCAGACUAUUCAUUCCAACGGCACUUACGCGGGGAUUUU
rnacentral:other from 1 species